rnacentral:rRNA from 1 species
UACGAAGGGCUAGCGUUGUUCGGAAUCACUGGCGUAAGGCGCGUAGGCGGCUUGUAAGUCGGGUGAAGCCUGUGGCUCAACCACAGAAUUGCCUUCGAUACUGCAUGGCUUGAGACCGGAAGAGGUAAGUGGAACUGCGAGUGUAGAGGUGAAUUCGUAGAUAUCGCAAGAACACCAGUGGCGAAGGCGGCUUACUGGUCCGGUACUGACGCUGAGGUGCGAA